rnacentral:rRNA from 1 species
UGGGGAAUAUUGCACAAUGGAGGGAACUCUGAUGCAGCGACGCCGCGUGAACGAAGAAGGCUUUCGAGUCGUAAAGUUCUUUUAUAUGGGAAGAUAAUGACGGUACCAUAAGAAAAAGCCCCGGCUAACUACGUGCCAGCAGCCGCGGUAAUACGUAGGGGGUUAGCGUUGUCCGGAAUCACUGGGCGUAAAGGGUUCGCAGGCGGAAAUGCAAGUCAGGUGUAAAAGGCAGUAGCUUAACUACUGUAAGCAUUUGAAACUGCAUAUCUUGAGAAGAGUAGAGGUAAGUGGAAUUUUUAGUGUAGCGGUGAAAUGCGUAGAUAUUAAAAAGAAUACCGGUGGCGAAGGCGACUUACUGGGCUCAUUCUGACGCUGAGGAACGAAAGCGUGGGUAGCAAACAGG